rnacentral:rRNA from 1 species
AACGAACGCUGGCGGCACGCCUAACACAUGCAAGUCGAGCGCACUCUUCGGAGUGAGCGGCGGACGGGUUAGUAACGCGUGGGAACAUACCCUUUUCUAUGGAAUAGCCUUUGGAAACGAAGAGUAAUACCAUAUACGCCCUUCGGGGGAAAGAUUUAUCGGUGAAGGAUUGGCCCGCGUUAGAUUAGAUAGUUGGUGGGGUAAUGGCCUACCAAGUCUACGAUCUAUAGCUGGUUUGAGAGGAUGAUCAGCAACACUGGGACUGAGACACGGCCCAG